GGUAAACAUCAUAUCUACUAGGCUAAUGUCUUGUAAUUGGAAUGAUGGUGACCCAAACCCUCACCAGAGUAGCAGUUGGAGGGCAAGUCUGGUGCCGGCAGCCGCGGUAAUUCCGCUCCUAUAACGUAUAUAAAACUUGUUGCAGUUAAAAAGCUCGUAGUUGAAUUUUAGCGUGUUCGAGUUUGCCAUUCGUUUGGCUUUUUCGAGUUCGCUUUUGGGUUUUCCCUUUUUACUUUGAGAAAAUUAGAGUGUUUCAAGCAGACUUUUGUCUUGAAUACUUCAGCAUGGAAUAAUAGAGUAGGACUUUGGUUCUAUUUUGUUGGUUAUUGAACCUUAGUAAUGGUUCAUCGGACCGGUGGGGGGGGGGGGUUUUUGAAACACU
rnacentral:rRNA from 1 species